AAUAACUACACGCCAACUCUUUGUCCUUUUCACACCCCAAUAUUAAAAUAGAUGCUGAGAUAAUAUGAGUCAUAGCCACCAUCUAUCGCAUUUGAAGCUUGACAGCAAUCAGCAGUCGGUAACCUUGACAUGACCACAUUAACAUUUAGAAAGCUUGAGGUGAUGACACUGAAUUGGCUUCCAACCAUGCAUCGCGAGGGGAUAAAAAUGGGGCCCUUUUCUUAAUUAUGUUCCUUGUUGGCCUGGUCCCCAUCAUCUGCAACG
rnacentral:lncRNA from 1 species